UACGUAGGGGGCAAGCGUUGUCCGGAUUUAUUGGGCGUAAAGCGCGCGUAGGCGGCCCGGUAAGUCCGCUGUGAAAGUCGGGGGCUCAACCCUCGGAUGCCGGUGGAUACUGUCGGGCUUGAGUGCGGAAGAGGCGAGUGGAAUUCCUGGUGUAGCGGUGAAAUGCGCAGAUAUCAGGAGGAACACCAAUUGCGAAGGCAGCUCGCUGGGACGUUACUGACGCUGAUGCGCGGAAAGCGUGGGGAGCAAACAGG
rnacentral:rRNA from 1 species